rnacentral:rRNA from 1 species
GACGUAGGGCGCAAGCGUUGUCCGGAUUUAUUGGGCGUAAAGAGCUCGUAGGCGGCUCGUUGCGUCGGCUGUGAAAACCCGCAGCUUAACUGUGGGCCUGCAGCCGAUACGGGCGGGCUGGAGUUCGGUAGGGGAGACUGGAAUUCCUGGUGUAGCGGUGAAAUGCGCAGAUAUCAGGAGGAACACCGGUGGCGAAGGCGGAUCUCUGGGCCUUACCUGACGCUGAGGCGCGAAAGCUAGGGGAGCGAACAGG